rnacentral:rRNA from 1 species
ACUCGCAUGGACGAAGUCUGACGGAGCAACGCCGCGUGAACGAUGAAGGCCUUCGGGUCGUAAAGUUCUGUUGUCAGAGAAGAACAAGUACCGGAGUAACUGCCGGUACCUUGACGGUACCUGACCAGAAAGCCACGGCUAACUACGUGCCAGCAGCCGCGGUAAUACGUAGGUGGCAAGCGUUGUCCGGAAUUAUUGGGCGUAAAGCGCGCGCAGGCGGUUCCUUAAGUCUGAUGUGAAAGCCCCCGGCUCAACCGGGGAGGGUCAUUGGAAACUGGGGAACUUGAGUGCAGAAGAGGAGAGCGGAAUUCCACGUGUAGCGGUGAAAUGCGUAGAGAUGUGGAGGAACACCAGUGGCGAAGGCGGCUCUCUGGUCUGUAACUGACGCUGAGGCGCGAAAGCGUGGGGAGCGAACAGGAUUAGAUACCCUGGUAGUCCACGCCGUAAACGAUGAGUGCUAAGUGUUAGAGGGUUUCCGCCCUUUAGUGCUGCAGCAAACGCAUUAAGCACUCCGCCUGGGGAGUACGGCCGCAAGGCUGAAACUCAAAGGAAUUGACGGGGGCCCGCACAAGCGGUGGAGCAUGUGGUUUAAUUCGAAGCAACGCGAAGAACCUUACCAGGUCUUGACAUCCUCUGACAACCCUAGAGAUAGGGCGUUCCCCUUCGGGGGACAGAGUGACAGGUGGUGCAUGGUUGUCGUCAGCUCGUGUCGUG